rnacentral:lncRNA from 1 species
AUACCGAAAUCCGCGACAGCCAGCGGAGAACCCUAGGGUUCCGCCGUUGACCACCAAACAAAACAACUUACCCACCGCUCUCCGCCACGACUUUCGCCGCAGCCGCAGAGGCCAACUAGACGGGUGAGCUGAGAGUCCAUUGCAGCGAGUCCACCGACGUCCUUAACCAGAGACUCCUCCGCGAAACUCCCAUGCCGUCAAGCCGGAUCUGCAACUGCAUCGGUCAGGAAAGCAAACCCAAACCACCGUCGUCGUAGAGUUGUUCUUCCUUACCUCUAAAUCCUCCUUGCACGACCUAGACCACACAAUGAAGCCCUUGCAAAUUCAGAUCUCAGAUGAAAAAAAGAGGGAGAAACCUUCGAAAGAGAGAGAGAAAAGGAACAGUAGGAACGAUUUUCCUCUAAUUCUCUUUCGUAAAGAAUCAAGCCUACCUACCAAAUAACUAAAUACUUAUUAAAUAGGCAGUAGUAGAUUGGAUUGUUGUUAUUAAAUUUGUACAUGUGUGGGAGGAUCAUGUGCACUGACUUUUUGAUAACCCUAGCCUAAAUAUCACACAAUGUUAAGUGUAGCAUCAUUGAUCAAUCAAAACGUAGCAUCAUUGAUCAAUCAAAACACCAAAUUGUGGAAAUUGAAUUAAGCCAUGUUCUAAUUGAGUAAGAGAAUAUAACGGGAUGGCCCCAAAUUUCAUCAUUAGAGAGCUGAAAAUGUUUAUUCAUGAACCAAACAUCAAAUUCCUUCAAACUUUUCGUGAAAACUCGUGGCAAUUCUUUGGAUAGUUCAGCUUUGUGGGCGACCAGCAAAGAUUUUCUUCUUUGUAUAAAUCUCGCUCUAUCGUAGCUUAUGUUUGUGGGUUUCCGCUUUGUAGUUACUCUUUUUGCUUUGUGUUUUCUUUUUGUAGUUUUCGGACUUUAUCCGCUAUUUGUGCGUCUCUAUGAAUCUCUGUCAAAAUUUAGAAAAUACUAUAAAAUUUAACAUUCAUACCAAAAAAAAAAAAUCCUCCAAACUUACCUAUAAAAGAAUCUCCACCUCUAGGAAUAUAAAACAUUUAUUUUAUCAAACACUUUAUAGAUGUGAUACCAUAAUCUUAAAGCUAGGACGAGCGGAGGGUCGUGUUGACUAAGUCUAGACGACGAGUCGUAUUGACAAGCUAGGGUUCAUAUUCCAGGUAAAGAGAGCGGUUCAGGCCUCAUUGACAUCUGUGUUGCUCAACCUACUAUUAGGAACUUUGAACCCCGGCGAGUACUAUUGACUGCCAUGUUCGACCGUCGUAUUGACGGACCACUUAUGCUAACCUUAAGAAAAGAUAUAGAAUCGCGACUGUGUUUAGAAUAGAAAGAAACAAGGUUUAUGAAGAAGUUAGGAAGUCUGGAAAACUUAGAGAGAAGUUAAAGAGACAUUUUAGAGAGAGAGAAAGCUAUUAUGAAAUUUUUAUGAUAU